AUGGCCGCACCCAUGGCAUAUGGAAGUUCCUGGACUAGGGACUGAAUCUGAGCCGCAGGUGCGGCAGAGCCAGAUCCUUUAACCCACUGUGCUGGGCCGGGGAUAGAAACCGAGCCUCUACAGUCAGAUUCUUAACCAACUGCACCACAGUAGGAACCCCAACAUUCGACAUUUGAUGGUGCAGAUACCUCCUUCUUCCUUCAGUGUAAAUAUUCUAAUACAAAUAUUUUUAUUAAUUGCCCCCCGCCAAAAAACAACAAAAAACCAAAAAGCACAAUAAAAAAAUUGGACCUUACCAAACCACCUGUAGGGCUUGCUUGCCCCUCUGGUACACUCUUCCACCCUGUGUCUUGCCUUGGUAAUGCCUGAUGGGUCACCCGAUAGGCUUCAACCUAGACAUCACACAUUUCUUCAGGAACCUUCCCUUCCACUAUGCUCCUGUCACCAGGGGUGUAGUACUAGGGGAAUCACACCUGAUAGCAAUUGCUCAUUUAUUUAGUACCCUCCAGCAUAUACAUUAAAUACAUCUGUAAGUACUUGCUGACUAUUCCACUAGGUAAUAGGCACCACCCAACCUGGGAAAGAUGAUUGGUGCCUUCCCCGUAGAGCCUAGUCCAAGCUUUUGUUUUGUUUGUCCUUUUAUAGCCACACCUAUGGCAUAUGGAAGUUCCCAGGUGCAGCCCUAAAAGGACAAAAGACCAAAAAUAAAUAAAUCAACUGCAGCUUGUGUUAAGCUUAAUCCACUGAGCAAGGCCAAGGGUUGAAUCUACAUCUUCACGGACACUUUGUGGGGUUCUUAACCCACUGAGCCACAAGAGGAACUCCUUGUUUUGUUUUUAAAUGGCUUUAUUGAGAUUUAGUCCAUGGACUAUGCAAUUCACCCAUUUAAGAUGUAAAAUUUGGGAGUUCCUGGGUGGCACAGUGGGUUAAGGAUUUUGCGAUGUCAUUGCUAUGGCUUGUAUUACCGCUGUGGCGCAGGUAAGAUCCCUGGCCCAGGAACUUCUGCAUACUGCAUGUAUAUGGCCAAAAAUAAAUAAAUAAAAUGUACAAUUUAGUGGCUUUUAGUAUAUUUACAAAGUUCAUCACCACAAUCAGUUUUAAAGUUUUCAUCAACCCCAAAAGAAACUUCGCACUCCUUAGGUAUCAUCGCUGGGGCCUCUGCAUCCCCUUCCCUUCCCCAUCACCCAGCCCCUGAGGUAACCACCAAUCUAGUGUAACCACAGAUCCUAUAGAUUUGCCUAUUCUGGAUAUUUCUUAUGUGAAUCAGGUUAGGUCUUCCCCAUCUUACCCAGUUCUGAGAUUCUUCUAAGAACUUCCCUGGAGAUUCAAAUUCAGAGAUCAGAGAAUCUGGUGGGUUCCCCCCCCCCCCCGCUUUUUAGGGCCGCACCUGCAGCAUAUGGAAGUUCCCAGGCUAGGGGUUUGAAUCGGCGCCACAGCUGCUGGACCACAGCACAACCACAGCCACGUGAGAUCCGAGCCAUGUCUUCCACCUACACCACAGCUCACAGCAACUCCGAAUCCCCAACCCACUGAGUGAGGCCAGGGAUUGAACCUGCACCCUCAUGGAUCCUAGUCGGGUUCGUUAACCAAUGAGCUACAAAGGGAACUCUGGAAUCUGUAUUUUUAACAUGGGGUCUUCUCUAAAGAGUCAAUUCUCUAUUUAAUCAGACUGCAUCUGCCUUUACUGUCUCCAGCAACCAAGGCCAAAUGUAUAGUAGUUGUCAACAAAUAGCUUUUGAUGACUACCUCUAAAACUUAACACAAUCAAGCAUUUUGAGUAUGGCGAGUCCCCUUGUGGCUUGGCAGGUUGGGGACAAUAUAGGCAGGGAGGAGUGAGAUCAGACUAGUAGAGGAGGCAAAUUGAAUCCACAGAGGCCAAAGGUGGCAAUUAGAAAGGGGCUUGUGGAGUGGCUGAAGAGUUUGGGAUUUAUUACCUCUAGGGUACUGGAGAGUCAUCCAUGGGCUUGAAGCAGGGGAAUUAUGAGAUCACAUCUGGGCUGUGCAGUUGUGUAGGGGGAGGAGGCAGGAAGCAGUGAAGAGUCUAAAGAUGUGGUCAGAAGUGAUAGUGCCUGAGCCAGGUUGGAGGCAGUGGGGAUAGAGAGAUUAGAGUGAAGAGAUAUCCCAAAGGCAGAAUGGACAAUUUAGAGAUUGAUGGGAUGUGGGAGAUGAGAGAAUGAAG
rnacentral:lncRNA from 1 species